CCUACGGGGGGCAGCAGUGGGGAAUAUUGCACAAUGGGGGAAACCCUGAUGCAGCGACGCCGCGUGAGUGAAGAAGUAAUUCGUUAUGUAAAGCUCUAUCAGCAGGGAAGAAAAUGACGGUACCUGAGUAAGAAGCCCCGGCUAACUACGUGCCAGCAGCCGCGGGAAUACGUAGGGGGCAAGCGGUAUCCGGAUGUAAUGGGUGUAAAGGGAGCGUAGACGGCAGUGCAAGUCUGGAGUGAAAGGCGGGGGCUCAACCCCCGGACUGUUCUGGAAACUGUACGGCUGGAGUGCAGGAGAGGUAAGUGGAAUUCCUAGUGUAGCGGUGAAAUGCGUAGAUAUUAGGAGGAACACCAGUGGCGAAGGCGGCUUACUGGACUGUAACUGACGUUGAGGCUCGAAAGCGUGGGGAGCAAACAGGAUUAGAUACCCGUGUAGUC
rnacentral:rRNA from 1 species